AUAAAUAAAUUAUUAAGAGCACUUGAUGGAUGCCUUGGCGUUAAGAGGCGAUGAAGGACGUGGCAGGCUGCGAUAAGCUGUGGGGAAUUGUCAACAAAUUUUGAUCCGCAGAUUUCCGAAUGGGGAAACCCAACUAGUUUAGCUAGUUAUUACGUACUAAGUAUGUAAAGCAAACUUGGUGAACUGAAAUAUCUAAGUAGCCAAAGGAAAAGAAAUCAACCGAGAUUCUGUUAGUAGUGACGAGCGAAAGCGGAAAAGGCUAGUGAUUUAAGAAUAAGAAUUAGAAUACUCUGGAAAUAGUAACCAUAGAAGGUGAUAGUCCUGUAUAAGUAGAAAGUUUUUAAAUCCUUGAGUAGAGCGGGGCACGUGAAAUCCUGUUUGAAUAUGGGGGGACCAUCCUCCAAGCCUAAAUACUCCUUAACGACCGAUAGUGAACAAGUACCGUGAGGGAAAGGUGAAAAG
rnacentral:rRNA from 1 species